GAUGAACGCUGGCGGCGUGCCUAAUACAUGCAAGUCGAGCGAACGGACGAGAAGCUUGCUUCUCUGAUGUUAGCGGCGGACGGGUGAGUAACACGUGGAUAACCGACCUAUAAGACUGGGAUAACUUCGGGAAACCGGAGCUAAUACCGGAUAAUAUUUUGAACCGCAUGGUUCAAAAGUGAAAGACGGUCUUGCUGUCACUUAUAGAUGGAUCCGCGCUGCAUUAGCUAGUUGGUAAGGUAACGGCUUACCAAGGCAACGAUGCAUAGCCGACCUGAGAGGGUGAUCGGCCACCCUGGAACUGAGACCCGGUCCAGACUCCUACGGGAGGCAGCAGUAGGGAAUCUUCCGCAAUGGGCGAAAGCCUGACGGAGCAACGCCGCGUGGGUGAUGAAGGUCUUCGGAUCGUAAAACUCUGUUAUUAGGGAAGAACAUAUGUGUAAGUAACUGUGCACAUCUUGACGGUACCUAAUCAGAAAGCCACGGCUAACUACGUG
rnacentral:rRNA from 1 species